rnacentral:rRNA from 1 species
GAAUAAAAAAUCCUCCGAAUGAUUUUAACAUAGACUGACCAGUCGAAGUAACAUUUAAAAUCUUAUUGAUCCAAAACCAUUUGAUCAACGGACCA